AUUGAACGCUGGCUGCAGGCCUAACACAUGCAAGUCGAACGAGUGGCGGACGGGUGAGUAAUGUCUGGGAAACUGCCUGAUGGAGGGGGAUAACUACUGGAAACGGUAGCUAAUACCGCAUACCAUCAGAUGUGCCCAUAUGGGAUUAGCUUGUUGGUGGGGUAGCGGCUCACCCAGGCGAAGAUCCCUAGCUGGUCUGAGAGGAGGACUAGACACCCUGUAACUGGAACACGUGCCAGACACCUACUGGAGGGAUCAGUGGGGAAUAUUGCACAUUGGGCGCAAGCCUGAUACAGCCAUGCCGCGUGUAUUAAGAAGGCCUUCGGGUUGUAAAGUACGUUCAGCUGGGAGGCGUUACCCGCAGAAGAAGCACCGGCUAACUCCGUGCCAGCAGCCGCGGUAAUAC
rnacentral:rRNA from 1 species